rnacentral:lncRNA from 1 species
AAGAGACAGCGCCGCCGGCCGUGGGGAGCGGACGCAGUGAUUUGCUCCCCCUCGUGCAGCAACCCCCACACCCAGCACCAGGAGCCUGUUCCUCUCACGCCCUCACCUGGCUGAGCCGCAGUAGUUCUUCAGUGGCAAGCUUUAUGUCCUGACCCAGCUAAAGCUGCCAGUUGAAGAACUGUUGCCCUCUGCCCCUGGCUUCGAGGAGGAGGAGGAGCUGCUUUCCCCAUCAUCUGGAAGGUGACAGAAAUGGGCUGGGAAGGUCCGAACAGCAGGGUGGAUGAUACGUUUUGGGCAAGUUGGAGAGCCUUUGCCCAGAUUGGCCCAGCAAGGAGCGGUUUUAGAUUAGAGACACUGGCUGGAUUGAGGAGUAGAAGGCUCAAACAACCCAAGGUGGUAUGUGAUCCCCAGCUCAGGCCUGUGCAGACAGGAAAUUCUCCCCUGCAGCAAGUAGGGGAGGUGGGUUGUGGGAUGUGACCUCCUUCCAGAUAUCAGGCAGUGAGUGUAAACCUGCCACCUCCAGCCCUGAUCCAUUCUCACCUAGCGGCUACAGGAAGCUGUGUCUGUUCG